rnacentral:rRNA from 1 species
GGUUAAGCGACUAAGCGUACACGGUGGAUGCCCUGGCAGUCAGAGGCGAUGAAGGACGUGCUAAUCUGCGAAAAGCGUCGGUAAGGUGAUAUGAACCGUUACAGCCGGCGAUGUCCGAAUGGGGAAACCCAGUGCAAUUCGUUGCACUAUCGUUAACUGAAUACAUAGGUUAACGAGGCGAACCGGGGGAACUGAAACAUCUAAGUACCCCGAGGAAAAGAAAUCAACCGAGAUUCCCCCAGUAGCGGCGAGCGAACGGGGAGCAGCCCAGAGUCUGAAUCAGCUUGUGUGUUAGUGGAACGGUCUGGAAAGUCCGACGGUACAGGGUGAUAGUCCCGUACACCAAAAUGCACAGGCUGUGAACUCGAAGAGUAGGGCGGGACACGUGGUAUCCUGUCUGAAUAUGGGGGGACCAUCCUCCAAGGCUAAAUACUCCUGACUGACCGAUAGUGAACCAGUACCGUGAGGGAAAGGCGAAAAGAACCCCGGCGAGGGGAGUGAAAAAGAACCUGAAACCGUGUACGUACAAGCAGUGGGAGCACCUUCGGGUGUGACUGCGUACCUUUUGUAUAAUGGGUCAGCGACUUAUAUUCUGUAGCAAGGUUAACCGUAUAGGGGAGCCGCAGGGAAACCGAGUCUUAACUGGGCGUUAAGUUGCAGGGUAUAGACCCGAAACCCGGUGAUCUAGCCAUGGGCAGGUUGAAGGUUGGGUAACACUAACUGGAGGACCGAACCGACUAAUGUUGAAAAAUUAGCGGAUGACUUGUGGCUGGGGGUGAAAGGCCAAUCAAACCGGGAGAUAGCUGGUUCUCCCCGAAAGCUAUUUAGGUAGCGCCUCGUGAAUUCAUCUUCGGGGGUAGAGCACUGUUUCGGCUAGGGGGUCAUCCCGACUUACCAACCCGAUGCAAACUACGAAUACCGAAGAAUGUUAUCACGGGAGACACACGGCGGGUGCUAACGUCCGUCGUGAAGAGGGAAACAACCCAGACCGCCAGCUAAGGUCCCAAAGUCAUGGUUAAGUGGGAAACGAUGUGGGAAGGCACAGACAGCCAGGAUGUUGGCUUAGAAGCAGCCAUCAUUUAAAGAAAGCGUAAUAGCUCACUGGUCGAGUCGGCCUGCGCGGAAGAUGUAACGGGGCUAAACCAUGCACCGAAGCUGCGGCAGCGACACUAUGUGUUGUUGGGUAGGGGAGCGUUCUGUAAGCCUGCGAAGGUGUGCUGUGAGGCAUGCUGGAGGUAUCAGAAGUGCGAAUGCUGACAUAAGUAACGAUAAAGCGGGUGAAAAGCCCGCUCGCCGGAAGACCAAGGGUUCCUGUCCAACGUUAAUCGGGGCAGGGUGAGUCGACCCCUAAGGCGAGGCCGAAAGGCGUAGUCGAUGGGAAACAGGUUAAUAUUCCUGUACUUGGUGUUACUGCGAAGGGGGGACGGAGAAGGCUAUGUUAGCCGGGCGACGGUUGUCCCGGUUUAAGCAUGUAGGCUGGUUAUCCAGGCAAAUCCGGAUAAUCAAGGCUGAGGUGUGAUGACGAGGCACUACGGUGCUGAAGUAACAAAUGCCCUGCUUCCAGGAAAAGCCUCUAAGCAUCAGGUAACAUCAAAUCGUACCCCAAACCGACACAGGUGGUCAGGUAGAGAAUACCAAGGCGCUUGAGAGAACUCGGGUGAAGGAACUAGGCAAAAUGGUGCCGUAACUUCGGGAGAAGGCACGCUGGUGUGUAGGUGAAGCCCCUGCGGGUGGAGCUGAGACCAGUCGAAGAUACCAGCUGGCUGCAACUGUUUAUUAAAAACACAGCACUGUGCAAACACGAAAGUGGACGUAUACGGUGUGACGCCUGCCCGGUGCCGGAAGGUUAAUUGAUGGGGUUAUCCGUAAGGAGAAGCUCUUGAUCGAAGCCCCGGUAAACGGCGGCCGUAACUAUAACGGUCCUAAGGUAGCGAAAUUCCUUGUCGGGUAAGUUCCGACCUGCACGAAUGGCGUAAUGAUGGCCAGGCUGUCUCCACCCGAGACUCAGUGAAAUUGAACUCGCUGUGAAGAUGCAGUGUACCCGCGGCAAGACGGAAAGACCCCGUGAACCUUUACUAUAGCUUGACACUGAACAUUGAGCCUUGAUGUGUAGGAUAGGUGGGAGGCUUUGAAGCGUGGACGCCAGUCUGCGUGGAGCCAACCUUGAAAUACCACCCUUUAAUGUUUGAUGUUCUAACGUUGGCCCCUUACCGGGGUUGCGGACAGUGUCUGGUGGGUAGUUUGACUGGGGCGGUCUCCUCCCAAAGCGUAACGGAGGAGCACGAAGGUUAGCUAAUCCUGGUCGGACAUCAGGAGGUUAGUGCAAUGGCAUAAGCUAGCUUGACUGCGAGCGUGACGGCGCGAGCAGGUGCGAAAGCAGGUCAUAGUGAUCCGGUGGUUCUGAAUGGAAGGGCCAUCGCUCAACGGAUAAAAGGUACUCCGGGGAUAACAGGCUGAUACCGCCCAAGAGUUCAUAUCGACGGCGGUGUUUGGCACCUCGAUGUCGGCUCAUCACAUCCUGGGGCUGAAGUAGGUCCCAAGGGUAUGGCUGUUCGCCAUUUAAAGUGGUACGCGAGCUGGGUUUAGAACGUCGUGAGACAGUUCGGUCCCUAUCUGCCGUGGGCGCUGGAGAAUUGAGGGGGGCUGCUCCUAGUACGAGAGGACCGGAGUGGACGCAUCACUGGUGUUCGGGUUGUCAUGCCAAUGGCACUGCCCGGUAGCUAAAUGCGGAAGAGAUAAGUGCUGAAAGCAUCUAAGCACGAAACUUGCCCCGAGAUGAGUUCUCCCUGAGACUUUAAGUCUCCUGAAGGAACGUUGAAGACGACGACGUUGAUAGGCCGGGUGUGUAAGCGCAGCGAUGCGUUGAGCUAACCGGUACUAAUGAACCGUGAGGCUUAACCUU